AACAUGUCGACUUAAGAUUUUUUGUUUGAAUACUUUGAUAAGUCUUCUGAAGUGUGUUUCUCAAGUGUCGUAUGUAAUAAAUCAUGUCUCCAAGUGCUUUUAUACCAAGGUACGAGUUCCCUAAGGAAGUAUUGUGUUGUACUUUACUACAGUCCGACUUCUACGUACGUCUGCUGUAUUUUGGUUCGCAACAAGUUUUGUUUUGGAUUUAAAAACUUCUUUAAAAUGGCUCCAUAUACGGGGUUCGGCAACUCCUCAACAAAUCGAAACCGUUCUCAAUUUCCUGGAGGAACAUAGAGAUUUAGCGGUAGAUUGAAUAGUUGCACCCAGCCAGGAAGAUAACCUGAGAGUCCAGCUGUAAAAGCUGCCUAUGUAGCACCACCAUUGACACAAGAAUGCCUGACUUUCACACCUUCCUCUCAACAUACACACUCUACAAGGACACGAUCAGCCAGCACAGGUGUAAGAAGCAGAUUGUAUCAAUAUGAAGAGGAGCGUGCCCAGAGAGAGAGACGGUGACAAACGCAUAGCUUGCAGGCAUCAGGGGCGAAUUGGCGGG
rnacentral:lncRNA from 1 species